rnacentral:rRNA from 1 species
ACGAACGCUGGCGGCGUGCUUAACACAUGCAAGUCGAACGGAAAGGCCCUGCUUUUGUGGGGUGCUCGAGUGGCGAACGGGUGAGUAACACGUGAGUAACCUGCCCUUGACUUUGGGAUAACUUCAGGAAACUGGGGCUAAUACCGGAUAGGAGCUCCUGCUGCAUGGUGGGGGUUGGAAAGUUUCGGCGGUUGGGGAUGGACUCGCGGCUUAUCAGCUUGUUGUUGGGGUAGUGGCUUACCACGGCUUUGACGGGUAGCCGGCCUGAGAGGGUGACCGGCCACAUUGGGACUGAGAUACGGCCCAGAAGCCUACGGGAGGCAGCAGUGGAGAAUAUUGCACAAUGGGCGGAAGCCUGAUGCAGAAACGCCGCGUGCGGGAUGACGGCCUUCGGGUUGUAAACCGCUUUCGCCUGUGACGAAGCGUGAGUAACGGUAAUGGGUAAAGAAGCAACGGCUAACUACGUG